UCAGAAUUCAAAUUAGUGAUGUUGAUGAUUGAUGACUGGAGACAAGUUCAUGGUACAUCAUGAGCUGGCAUAUCACAUGUAUCAGUUUGAUUUUAGCAUAAGGUUGUACAAGAGCAGCCCCCAUGUCAUAAAAUGACAGAAUGGAAGACAGUGGUAGAGGCAUUGCAGGAUCCUUAUGGUCGCAAAUUUUGUACAUUUUUUUACGACCACAAGUCGAUAAGUUUUUCUACCAUUAUUGGUGGGGUCAGUCUGUGGGCUGGGAUACCUCAGUCGAUGCUACAAGAAUAAGCUGAAAUCAAGAAUGAACAAGACAAUCAGUUUGUGAUGGCCAGGUAACAAUCUGGUGGGCCCCUCAUGUUGGUGAUAGAAUAACAUCUGACAAUAUCUUGUUUUCUUUUUUCCUUUCAUGAGAUCUAUAAAAACUUGAAAGCUUGAAGUAUACUUGUGCAAGAGUUGGUGCUGAUCGUGCACUGCUACAGUGAUUAAGCCGAAACCAAGAAUUGAACAAAAUGACAGCACUACAUGUGGUGGUUAUCUCAAGUUCUGGUGAAAGCAAGCUUGCCAAGACAACCUGCUUGCCAUGGUCAGAUAUUAGCCAACACUCUGGGCUUAGGCUGACAUCAAGAAUGAACAAAAUGACAGCAUUAGAUGUGGUGACCUCGAGAUCUCGUGACAGCCAGCUUACCAAGACAACCUGCUUGUGAUGGUCAGGUAUUAGCAUUCCUUUCUACUUAACCGACGCAGACCUUCUAGAUUUGAUGAACUACAGCCAACUUGAAACCGUACUCCACAACAAGGAGCUACAGCAGCACUCUAUCAUUUUUUAUACAAUUCUCUAGAAUCUACUCGAUCUUGAUUAGCUACUUGAUGUGUUGAUACCCUGGUGGGCUCCUCAUGUUGGUGAUAAGAAUAAAAAGUCUAACAAUAUCUUCUUCUUCUUUUUUUUCCUUUCAUGAGAGCUAAAUCUGCAGUGCUAUCUCAAGCUUACCAAAAUGACAGCACUAGUUGUGGUGGUUAUCUCAAGCUUACCAAGAAAACAUGCUUGUGAUGGCCAGGUAUAAGGUAAUAAUACUAUGGUGGCCCCCUUAUGUUGGUGACACAAUGAAAAGUGUAGGUGCCCUUCUCUUGUGAACCCAAGUGGUUGGUAGAGUUAGUGUAGCAAUUAGCAUGCAAACAAAUAAAAGAAAAA